rnacentral:rRNA from 1 species
GACGAACGCUGGCGGCGUGCUUAACACAUGCAAGUCGAACGGAAAGGCCCUGCUUUUGUGGGGUGCUCGAGUGGCGAACGGGUGAGUAACACGUGGGUAACCUGCCCUUGACUUUGGGAUAACUUCAGGAAACUGGGGCUAAUACCGGAUAGGAGCUCAUGCUGCAUGGUGGGGGUUGGAAAGUUUCGGCGGUUGGGGAUGGACGCGCGGCUUAUCAGCUUGUUGGUGGGGUAGUGGCUUACCAAGGCUUUGACGGGUAGCCGGCCUGAGAGUGUGACCGGGCACAGUGUGACUGAGAUAGCGGCCAGACGCCUACGGGAGGCAGCAGUGGGGAACAUUGCACGAUGGGCGGAAUCCUGAUGCAGCAACUCCGGGUGCGGGAGGACGGCCUUCGGGUUGUAAACCGCUUUCGCCUGUGACGAAGCGUGAGUGACGGUAAUGGGUAAAGAAGCAACGGCUAACUACGUG